GAGUCUGUAGCUCAGCUGGAUAGAGCAACGGCCUUCUAAGCCGUGGGUCGGGGGUUCGAAUCCCUUCAGGCUCGC
rnacentral:tRNA from 1 species